GCUGAUAGGUCCUCACCCCACGCUUGGCAAAUGCCAAGGGCCCGUCCCUGCAAACAAAGAACCAAGGUCAGUGGGUCAGGGAGGGAGGAAGAGCCUCCCUGAAACUGCCCCAGCUCCGCCCCUGGAUAGUGGGGGGCCAGGUCCACAAAGCUCCCGCCCCCGAAAAGACAGAGGUAACCGGCUCCCGGGAAGCAAGCGGCUGCCUGCCUGCCGGGGGCACAGAGGAGCUGCUGCCGGCUUGGCCUGGCGGGUCCGCACCUGAUGGGUCAGUAAUCCGGAGGGUGAGCCCCCUUCGUCUGUUCCUCAGAGAACAGGGCCACCCUUUCUGGCUUCACGGUAGCAGGAAGGCGUUCUGGGCCAGGUCUGGAUUGACAGCAGCUGCCUGGGGGUUAGGUUGAAGGCAGAACACUGAUUUCAGGCCAGGUCCUCUCUGCCGAGGAGGCAGUAGAAUUUUCUGGAAGCUUCUGAAUGCAGGUCCCAGGCCGGCUCUGCAGGCCGAAGAGUGCUGGGCACCCGGAGCUGGGACGCAGGUGGGCUGCCGUGGGGCACAGCCAGGGCAUUCUCUGCAGCAGCCGGCUGUUAGGGGGAAGCCGAACCAAAGGGGGGGGGUUCCUGGGCCCCGGGCCUGGGCCCUGCUCCUGGGUCCUCCCCAGGUGGGCUCUGGGGCCUCCGCUGAGCCCCCAGGUCAGGGUCAGGGCGUGGCAUCCUGUGCAAAGAGCUGGGGGGUCCUAACUGCGAGGCGCCCCCGCCCCCGCAUGGGCCCAGCCAGCUGGACACCAUCAGGCUCCCUGCCCGCGUCUCCCGAGCCCAGCUGCAGGUGCGCACGAGCAGACCCAGGUGGGCGAGAAGCCCAGCCUCGCUUGCUGCCUCUGAACCACCAGCCCUCACGUGGUGACGUGGCUCCGGGCGAAGCGUGGGAGGCGCCACGGGAAGCUGCCAGGAGAGGGGUCUUGCAGACUCCCGGCUGCCCGCAGCACACAGGAUGCCCUCCGAGGGGACCGUGGGGCACUAGUGGGAACAGGCCCUGGGGUGAGGCACCUGCUCGUUGCUCUGGAGACCGUCCCCUGGCUGCCUUGCAGGUAGGGGUGAUGGGCGGGGGUCCCGAAGCUGCCACAGCACUGGGGGGGGGGGGGGCUGAGACGACAGCCUCUGGGGCAUGGGGCCCAGGGCACCCGGCUGCAGCUGACAGGGUGACAAGGAGGGGGUGUCCCCUGAUUCUUAAUGCCUCGGUCACCCGUGUUGCCUUCCCUUUCAGCCAAGUGACCGCUGGCCCAGGGACAUGCCUUGGCCCUGGGGGAGAGUGCUUGUGGCCCAGGAGCUGCUGCGUGUGGGUGUCAUUUCAGCAGCUCUUGUCCCAGGAGGCUCCUCCAGAGGUCCCAGGGGAUGUUCUCCCGUCACCUGGCUCAGACACAGUCACCUGA
rnacentral:lncRNA from 1 species